rnacentral:rRNA from 1 species
GGUGAUGAAGGCGGGAAGGCCACACCCGUUCCCAUCCCGAACACGGAAGUUAAGCUUCCCAGCGCCGAUGGUAGUUGGGGGGUUCCCCCUGCGAGAGUAGGACGUUGCAG